rnacentral:rRNA from 1 species
AGAGUUUGAUCAUGGCUCAGAGUGAACGCUGGCGGCGUGCCUAAUACAUGCAAGUCGAACGCGAAAGUCCUUCGGGAUGAGUAAAGUGGCGCACGGGUGAGUAAUGGUUGAGAACGUGCCCUAAGGUGGGGAAUAACAGUUGGAAACGACUGCUAAUACCGCAUGGUAUCGCAAGAUUAAAGGUGGGGAUCGCAAGACCUACCGCCAUAGGAUCGGCUCAACUCCCAUUAGCUAGUUGGCAGGGUAAUGGCCUACCAAGGCAACGAUGGGUAUGUGGUCUUAGAGGAUGAUCACACACACUGGAACUGAGACACGGUCCAGACUCCUACGGGAGGCAGCAGUAGGGAAUAUUGCACAAUGGAGGAAACUCUGAUGCAGCAACGCCGCGUGAGUGAAGAAGGCCCUUGGGUCGUAAAGCUCUUUAGCCUGGAAAGAAGUGUUUAUGAGUAAAUAAUUCAUAGAUGUGACGGUACCAGGAGAAUAAGGUCCGGCUAAUUUCGUGCCAGCAGCCGCGGUAAUACGAAAGGACCAAGCGUUACUCGGAAUCACUGGGCGUAAAGCGCGCGUAGGUGGUCUUGUAUGUCGAUUGUGAAAGCCCCGGGCUCAACCUGGGAACUGCAGUCGAAACUGCAAGACUUGAAUGUUGGAGAGGUUGGGGGAAUACCUAGUGGAGAAGUGAAAUUCGUAGAGAUUAGGUGGAACACCAGAGGCGAAGGCGCCUGACUGGCCAAACAUUGACGCUGAGGCGCGAAAGCGUGGGUAGCAAACAGGAUUAGAUACCCUGNUAGUCCACGCCGUAAACGAUGGACACUAGCCGUUCGAAGCAUUAACCCUUUGAGUGGCAAAGUUCACACAUUAAGUGUCCCGCCUGGGAAGUACGGUCGCAGACUAAAACUCAAGGAAUUGACGGGGGCCCGCACAGCGUNNGUAUGUGGUUUAAUUCGACGCACGCGCAGACNUACUGNCUGACAUUGUGAGAUCGCAGCAGAGAUGUGGNNNNNNNNGGGNUCAUAAANNNGNNCUGCAUGNNGUCGU